AACGAACGCUGGCGGCAUGCCUAACACAUGCAAGUCGAACGAAACCUUCGGGUCUAGUGGCGCACGGGUGCGUAACGCGUGGGAACAUGCCCUUAUGUUCGGCCUAACUCCCCGAAAGGGGUGUUAAUACCGGAUAAUGUCUCCGGACCAAAGAUUUAUCGCCUUUGGAUGGGCCCGCGUUGGAUUAGCUAGUUGGUAGGGUAAAAGCCUGCCAAGGCGGUGAUCCAUAGCUGGGCUGAGAGGCUGCUCAGCCACACUGGGACUGAGACACGGCCCAGACUCGUACGGGAGGCAGCAGUGGGGAAUAUUGGACAAUGGGCGAAAGCCUGAUGCAGCGAGGCCGCGGGAGUGAUGAAGGCCUUAGGGUUGUAAAGCUCUUUUACCCGGGAUGAUAAUGACAGUACCGGGAGAAUAAGCACCGGCUAACUACGUG
rnacentral:rRNA from 1 species